rnacentral:rRNA from 1 species
GACCCAGACUCCUACGGGAGGCAGCAGUGGGGAAUAUUGCACAAUGGGGGAAACCCUGAUGCAGCGACGCCGCGUGAGCGAUGAAGUAUUUCGGUAUGUAAAGCUCUAUCAGCAGGGAAGAAGAUGACGGUACCUGACUAAGAAGCCCCGGCUAACUACGUGCCAGCAGCCGCGGUAAUACGUAGGGGGCAAGCGUUAUCCGGAUUCACUGGGUGUAAAGGGAGCGUAGACGGCGACGCAAGUCUGGAGUGAAAGCCCGGGGCCCAACCCCGGGACUGCUCUGGAAACUGCGUCGCUGGAGUACGGGAGGGGCAGGCGGAAUUCCUGGUGUAGCGGUGAAAUGCGUAGAUAUCAGGAGGAACACCGGCGGCGAAGGCGGCCUGCUGGACCGUGACUGACGUUGAGGCUCGAGAGCGUGGGGAGCAAACAGGAUUAGAUACCCGGGUAU